AUAUGACUCACGUAUGGUCAUUUAAAAAUAUUUAAAGUAUUUGGAUACGGACAGACAGCGAUCCACAGGUGUUAACAGUGUCAUUAAAAAUUACUUACCGAGAACAAUACUUUAGUAUACUACUUAAUUUUGAGUAUAUAUACCUUUAUUGAAUUUGCUGAACAACAUUUGAUGGAAAAUGGAACAAUAUCAUAGAAAAUUGAUUAACAGCUAUAUGUUGGAUUUAAUAUCGGUUACGUCUGACUUAGAAAAUAUUGUUAACAAACUAUUAGAAGCUACCAUAAUUAAUGAAUGGAUGAAAAAUUAUAUUUUGGAAGAUCAGGAAGAAUACAUUAAAAAAACAAAACUGUACGAAGUAAUUCAGGG